GACGAACGCUGGCGGCGUGCUUAACACAUGCAAGUCGAACGGAAAGGCCCUGCUUUUGUGGGGUGCUCGAGUGGCGAACGGGUGAGUAACACGUGAGUAACCUGCCCUUGACUUUGGGAUAACUUCAGGAAACUGGGGCUAAUACCGGAUAGGAGCUCCUGCUGCAUGGUGGGGGUUGGAAAGUUUCGGCGGAUGGGGAUGGACUCGCGGCUUAUCAGCUUGUUGGUGGGGUAGUGGCUUACCAAGGCUUUGACGGGUAGCCGGCCUGAGAGGGUGACCGGCCACAUUGGGACGGAGAUACGGCCCAGACUCCUACGGGAGGCAGCAGUGGGGAAUAUUGCACAAUGGGCGGAAGCCGGAUGCAGCAGCGCCGCGUGCGGGAUGACGGCCUUCGGGUUGUAAACCGCUUUCGCCUGUGACGAAGCGUGAGUGACGGUAAUGGGUAAAGAAGCACCGGCUAACUACGUG
rnacentral:rRNA from 1 species